UGGUGGAGUGAUUUGUCUGGUUAAUUCCGAUAACGAACGAGACUUCUUCCUAUUAAAUAGCAUAGUUAAGCUUCUGUUUGGGUGAAGUAGUUAUGUCUGAUCAGUACAGGCAACUGUGUUGUGAUGCGUGGCUAUGGAACCUUGAUGACUUGGCUAUAAUUCAACGCUUCUUAAAGGGACUAUUGGCGUUUAGUCAAUGGAGGUGAGGCAAUAACA
rnacentral:rRNA from 1 species